AGAAGCACACGCAAGGCCUGCCUGAGUGCUUCCCUCAGUUAGACUUUUCACACGAGAGUCUUGAUUUUCUCCUUGACAUUCCGGUUAUGUGUGUCCCAGCAUAGGGCAGCUGACUAGCACUACAAAGUGGUUCACAGAUGUGAGGGUUAAUCCUGGCUGUCAUCUUGAUUAGAUUUGGGAGCAUAGGGCCUUGUCUCCGAGUGGGUCUGUGAGGAUAGGAGCCUCCCCAGGGCAGUGCCUUCUAGCAGUAGCCCAGAUAUGGAUUCCAAGAGAAGAGUGGGACUGCUUCUGCCUGACUGUCUGCGCUCCUUGUUGCUAAGUGCAUCUGCGCUGCUGCUGCUGCUACUGCCAUUCUUCACUGACAUCAGAACUAAGCUUCUCUGAUGUAUGCACACUGAAGACCAGAGGCUCUCCAGGAAUCCCUCUGUCCUUCAGCACCAGCCUUGCAGAAUGUGAAGUUCCUUGGUUCUUAGUCUCUCCACUGUGCAGAUGGCCACUGUUGGACUCACUCUCCCUCUGACCACCUGCCUAGGCCCUGCUGUCUGACUCUGCUGGCGCUGCGCUGACUCCAAGUACUGCUGCCUUUGGAUUCUGGGUGCCCCCCCCCUCCCCCCCGUCUGUCUCCAAUCCACAGGUAUCUCUGGGCCACUCAUGUGCUGCACCUGCUAGCUGCUAUUCAUUCUAGGAAACAGGAAGGCCACGUCCCCCACAGGAAGCAGCGGCCUGUGUGGUGUGCUGUAGGGCACUCACCCAGUUCCUCCAGGGAAGGCACGCCAUAGGUGUCAUCAUGGUUCUCCUGGAUCUCAGCUCUGCAGCUCUCCAUCUGCUGGCUGCUCACAGCCACCGCGGGCUUCUUGGGCAGCUCCAUGCGGCUGAUGAGGGCCUGAAAGCGCUUGUAGAUGCAGGUCUCUGGAGGCUGUGGGAGCUCACCGAGGCCCCGACGGUUCACUGCCAUGCUCGGCAGCAGCCUACCAGCUACAACUCCUGAGAUCCCAUUCUCAGUAUCUGCACUCCCACAGGACUUGAGAUGUUGCCCACGCAUCUGAGCUGCCUCAGUCCUUUUCUGCUUCAUUCUCUCAAAAGUGCCGCUACAAAAGGGUGACCCACAAAAAUCAAAAAACCAUAAAACCAAGCAUACUGGAGUUCAAUCU
ensembl:processed_transcript D930015M05Rik RIKEN cDNA D930015M05 gene